GAUGAACGCUAGCUACAGGCUUAACACAUGCAAGUCGAGGGGAAACGACAUCGAAAGCUUGCUUUUGAUGGGCGUCGACCGGCGCACGGGUGAGUAACGCGUAUCCAACCUGCCCAUCACUUGGGAAUAACCUUGCGAAAGUAAGACUAAUACCCAAUGACAUCCCACGAAGACAUCUGAACGGGAUUAAAGAUUUAUCGGUGAUGGAUGGGGAUGCGUCUGAUUAGCUUGUUGGCGGGGUAACGGCCCACCAAGGCAACGAUCAGUAGGGGUUCUGAGAGGAAGGUCCCCCACAUUGGAACUGAGACACGGUCCAAACUCCUACGGGAGGCAGCAGUGAGGAAUAGUGGUCAAUGGGCGAGAGCCUGAACCAGCCAAGUAGCGUGCAGGAUGACGGCCCUAUGGGUUGUAAACUGCUUUUAUAAGGGAAUAAAGUGGGUCUCGUGAGACUUUUUGCAUGUACCUUAUGAAUAAGGACCGGCUAAUUCCGUG
rnacentral:rRNA from 1 species